CAGUAGCCACGGUAAUACAGAGGGUGCAAGCGUUAAUCGGAAUUACUGGGCGUAAAGCGCGCGUAGGUGGUUUGUUAAGUUGGAUGUGAAAUCCCCGGGCUCAACCUGGGAACUGCAUCCAAAACUGGCAAGCUAGAGUAUGGUAGAGGGUGGUGGAAUUUCCUGUGUAGCGGUGAAAUGCGUAGAUAUAGGAAGGAACACCAGUGGCGAAGGCGACCACCUGGACUGAUACUGACACUGAGGUGCGAAAGCGUGGGGAGCAAACAGGAUUAGAUACACCAGUAGUCCCUGUCUCUUAUAC
rnacentral:rRNA from 1 species